ensembl:snoRNA
AGGUCAUUUCAAAGAGGGGUGGAUGGGACCAAAGCCAGGAGCCCUGAAUGAUGUGACCAAAGACUGAGUUCUCCAUUGGAUACAAUAGUCACUCGAUAGUGCCAUAUUUUCCCGAUAGGGAUACAAGC